rnacentral:rRNA from 1 species
UAAUUUGAUAAUCCGCAAAAAACCUUACCACAACUUGAAUAUUUAUAUAUUUAUAUAUUUACAAGCGUUGCACGGCUGUCUUCAGUUAAUGUCGUGAGACUUUGGUUAGAUCCAUUAAAUUAACGUAAGCCCUUACUUUAUUUGUAAAUAAAGUAGUUCCCCACUAUAUUGAAUAUGAUAACAGGGAUUAAGACAAGUCAUCAUGGCCUGAAUGUUGU